rnacentral:rRNA from 1 species
UACGGGGGGGGUAAGCGCUGUUCGGAAUUACUGGGCGUAAAGGGCUCGUAGGCGGCCAACUAAGUCGGACGUGAAAUCCCUCAGCUUAACUGGGGAACUGCGUCCGAUACUGGAUGGCUUGGAUUUGGGAGAGGGAUGCGGAAUUCCUGGUGUAGCGGUGAAAUGCGCAGAUAUCAGGAAGAACACCCGUGGCUAAGGCGGCUCUCUAGUACGGUACUGACGCUGAGACGCGAAAGCGUGGGGAGCGAACAGG